CUACGGAGGGUGCAAGCGUUAUUCGGAAUCACUGGGCGUAAAGGACGCGUAGGCGGGUUGGCAAGUCAGAUGUGAAACCCUACAGCUUAACUGUAGAACUGCAUUUGAAACUGCUAACCUAGAGUAUGGGAGGGGGAGAUGGAAUUAGUGGUGUAGGGGUAAAAUCCGUAGAUAUCACUAGGAAUACCGAAAGCGAAGGCGAUCUCCUGGAACAUAACUGACGCUAAGGCGUGAAAGCGUGGGGAGCAAACAGGAUUAGAAACCCCAGUAGUCC
rnacentral:rRNA from 1 species